CCGGCUUACCAACCCGAUGCAAACUGCGAAUACCGGAGAAUGUUAUCACGGGAGACACACGGCGGGUGCUAACGUCCGUCGUGAAGAGGGAAACAACCCAGACCGCCAGCUAAGGUCCCAAAGUCAUGGUUAAGUGGGAAACGAUGUGGGAAGGCCCAGACAGCCAGGAUGUUGGCUUAGAAGCAGCCAUCAUUUAAAGAAAGCGUAAUAGCUCACUGGUCGAGUCGGCCUGCGCGGAAGAUGUAACGGGGCUAAACCAUGCACCGAAGCUGCGGCAGCGACACUGUGUGUUGUUGGGUAGGGGAGCGUUCUGUAAGCCUGUGAAGGUGUGUC
rnacentral:rRNA from 1 species